rnacentral:rRNA from 1 species
UACGGAGGGUGCAAGCGUUGUCCGGAAUCACUGGGCGUAAAGGGUGCGUAGGUGGCGCCGUAAGUCAGGUGUGAAAUCUCGGAGCUCAACUCCGAAACUGCACUUGAUACUGCGGUGCUCGAGUACUGGAGAGGAGAUUGGAAUUUACGGUGUAGCAGUGAAAUGCGUAGAUAUCGUAAGGAAGACCAGUGGCGAAGGCGAAUCUCUGGACAGUUACUGACACUGAGGCACGAAGGCCAGGGGAGCAAACGGG